rnacentral:rRNA from 1 species
UACGUAGGGUGCGAGCGUUGUCCGGAAUUAUUGGGCGUAAAGAGCUCGUAGGCGGUCUGUCGCGUCUGCUGUGAAAACUCGGGGCUUAACCCCGGGCCUGCAGUGGGUACGGGCAGACUAGAGUGCGGUAGGGGAGACUGGAAUUCCUGGUGUAGCGGUGAAAUGCGCAGAUAUCGGGAGGAACACCCGUAGCGAAGGCGGCACUCGUGGGCCGGUACUGACGCUGAGGAG